rnacentral:lncRNA from 1 species
CCCGAGGCUGGAGUGCAAUGGUGCAAUCUCGGCUCACUGCAACCUAUGCCUCCAAGGUUCAAGAGAUUCUCCUGCUUCAGCCUCUCAAGUAGCUAGGAUUACAGGCAAGUGCCACCACGCCCGGCUAAUUUUUGUAUUUUUAGUAGAGACGGGGUUUCACCAUGUUGGCCAGGCUGGUCUCAAACUCCUGACCUUAGGUGAUUCUCCCACCUUGGCCUCCCAAAGUGCUGGGAUUACAGGCGUAAGCCACCAUGCCUGGGCUUGUCUAGCUUUUGUAUUGCUAGCUUUGUAAAAUUAGUUUGGAAGUAUUCUGUCUACUUUGAUUUUCUAGAAAAGCUUAGAAUUGGUAUUAGUUCUUCAUUAAUAUUUGGUAGAUUUCAGUAGAGGAGUCAUCCAAUUCUGGGCUUUUCUUUGGUGGGAGAAUUUUUAUUACUGAUUCAAUCUUCUUACUUAUUAUUGGUCUGUUCAGGUUUUCUCCUUCUUCAUGAUUAAUCUUGAUAGGUUGUGUGUGUCUAGAAAUUUAUUCAUUUCUUCUAUGUUAUUCAAUUAGUUGCUGUAUAAUUGUUCAGUUCUUAUGAUCCUUUGUAUUUUGGGAGUAUCAAUUGUAAUAUCUCCUUUUUCAUUUCUGAUAUUUACUUCUUUGGGUCUUUUUUUUUUUCUUGGUUAGUCUAGCUAAUGGUCUGUUGAUUUUUUUUUUUUCAAAAAAGAAUCUCUUAGUUUUGUUGAAAUUUUUCUUUUAUUUUUCUAGUCUGUAUUCCAUUUAUUUUGGCUCUGAUCUUUGUUCUUUCCUUCCUUCUGGUCACUUUCAGAUUAGCUUGUUCUUCUUUUUAUUGUUCCUUGAGGUGUAACAUUAGAUUGUUUAUUCAUGAUAUUUCUUCUUUCUUGAUAUAGGCAUUUAUUGCUAUAAAUUUCCCCCUUUCUGCUAAUUUUGCUGCAUCCCAUAAGUUUUGGUAUGCUGUGUUUCCAUUUUUCUUUGUCUGAAGGCAUUUUAAAAUUUCAUUCUAAUUUUUUCUGUGACCCAGUGGCUGUUUAGGAGCAUAUUGUUUAAUUUCCACAUAUUUGUUUAUUUUCCAAGAUUUCUCCUGUUAUUGAUUUCUGGUUUUAUCCCACUGUGAUCUGAAAGAACACUUGAUAUGAUUUCAAUACUCUUACAUUUGCUAAGGUUUGUUUUGUGGCCUAACAUCUGAUCUAUUCUGGAGAUUAUUUUAUGUUCACUUAAGAAGAACGUGUAUUCUGUUGCUGUGGAAUGGAAUGUGCUGUUAGGUCUAUUUGGUCUAUACUGCAAUUCAAGUCCAAAGUUUCUAUACUGAUUUUCUGUAUGGAUAAUCUGUCCACUGUUCAAAGUGGGAUGCUGUGGUCCCUUGCUAUCUUAGCACUGCAGUCUACGUAUCCCUUCAGGUCAUUUUAUAAUUGCUUUAUAUAUUUAGGUGCUCUCUAAUGUUGCAUUCAUAUGCGUUUACAAUUAUGUCUGUGAAUUAAUACCUUUUUAUCAUUAUGUGAUAGCCUCCUUUGUAUCUUUUAUGGUUUUUGACUUUAAAUCUAUUUUGUCUGAUAUAAGUAUAGCUCCCCUGGCUCUCCUUGGGUUUCCAUGUGUGUGAAAUAUCUUUUUUCACCCCUUCACUUUCUAUGUACAUGCUUAUUAGGAAAGCAAGUCUCUACUAGGCAACAUGUGAUUAGACCUUACUUUUUCUUUAAUCCAUUUGGCUACUCUGUAUCUUUUUAUAAUAGAGAGUUUAAUCUAUUCUUUAUUUCCCCAUCCAUUGAGCCAGUCUUGGUUAUUUUAUUGAAGAAUUUAAUCCAUUUACAUUCAAGGCAGUUACUGAUAGGUAAGAAUUGCUACUGCCGUUUUGGAAUUUGAUUUCUAAUUUAGAUCCUUUGUUUCCUUCUUCCUCUGUACUGUCUUCCUUUGUGGUUUUUCUGGUUUUCUGUGGUUGUAUGUUUUGAAUCCUUUCUUUUUAUACUUUGUGCAACUACUAUAGGUUUUUACUUUGUAGUAUAAAAGUUGCAGAUACCAAGAUGAAAUUACUCUUCUCAAACCCAAACAAAUUGCAGCCAGCAAAGCACAUAGAGAGGUCGUGUGUGGAUGUCUGAGAUAAAACCUAUCUCAAGUACUUUCUAAAAUAGCCACACAAGAACUUUUUCAUGUCCUUCACAUAUCUCCCUCCCACAAAGGGACCCAAAAUGGCGAGGAAAUGGAAUAUCCUCCUCCAAUUCACUUUUCCCCCUGUAGAAACCAUGGGUCUAGGGAAAUUCUCUGUGUGUGCCACUGUCCCAGCUUGGGGGAGGGGUGGUACAGUCAAAGAAAACUGUUCCGCUUAUUGUUCAGCCACAGCUUUUCUCAGUUCUGUGGUCAAGUGGAUGUCUCAAGUUCUGGGUUAUUCACAAUGGUAUUCUUGCCUGAUGAUAGUUGUUAGUUGAAUUUCUGGGAGAGAGGGGAACAGAGAAUGAGGCCCGAUAACUUCUAUUCUACCACCUUGCUGAUGAGAUUUAUUUUAGGAAAUUGGCUCACAUGAUUGCAAAGGCUUGACAAAUCCAAAAUCUGCAGAAUAAGUCAGCAGACUGGAGACCCAGGGAAGAGCUGCUCUUCAAGUCCAAAGGCCAUCUGCUAGUAGGAUUCCCUUUUCUUCUGAGGAGGUCUUUAGAUGAACUCUUUCAACCAACUGCCAAUCAGAAAAUCUUUGAAUCCUCCUACGACAUGGAAGCCACUUCAAGUUGUCCCGCCUUUUUGGACCAAACCAAUGUACAUCUUACACGUAUUGAUGGACGUCUAUUUUCUCCCUAAAAUGUAUAAAACCAUGCUACACCCUGAUCACCCUGGGCACAUGUUAUCAGGAUCUCCUGGGGCUGUGUCAUGGGCCAUGGUCACUCAUAUUUGGCUUGGAAUAAAUCUCUUCAAAUAUUACAG